rnacentral:rRNA from 1 species
AUACGGAGGGGACUAGCGUUGUUCGGAAUUACUGGGCGUAAAGAGUUCGUAGGCGGACUGAUAAGUAAGAGGUGAAAUCCCAGGGCUCAACCCUGGAACUGCCUUUUAAACUGUCAGUCUAGAGACCGGAAGAGGUUAGGGGUAUACCUAGUGUAGAGGUGAAAUUCGUAGAUAUUAGGUGGAGCACCAGUGGCGAAGGCGCCUAACUGGUCCGGUACUGACGCUGAGGAACGAAAGCGUGGGGAGCAAACAGGAUUAGAAACCCCAGUAGUCC